UUACGGCCAUAUCGCGUUGAAACGCCGGUUUUCCUCGGAUCACCGAAGUUAAGCAACGUCAAGCUGGGCCAGUACUUAGAUGAGUGACCACUUAGGAAUACCAGAUGCUGUAA